GGUGGGGUGGGGGGGUUGG
rnacentral:miRNA from 1 species